rnacentral:rRNA from 1 species
CAAAGGUUUGGUCCUGACUUUUCUGCCAGCUCUAGCUAGACUUACACAUGCAAGUAUCCGCGCCCCCGUGAGAAUGCCCUAUAGUUCCCUGCCCGGGAACAAGGAGCUGGUAUCAGGCACACUCAAACAUGCCCACGACACCUUGCUCAGCCACACCCCCAAGGGUACUCAGCAGUGAUAAACAUUGACACAUAAGUGAAAACUUGACUCAGUUAAAGCUAAGAGGGCCGGUAAAACUCGUGCCAGCCACCGCGGUUAUACGGGAGGCCCAAGUUGUUAGAAGCCGGCGUAAAGGGUGGUUAAGAACAAGCUUAAAUUAAAGCCGAACGCCUUCUAGGCUGUUAUACGCAUCCGAAGGUAAGAAGCCCAAUUACGAAAGUAGCUUUGUACAUCUGACUUGCUACCCCGCUUUCACUGGGGUUGGUUACCCCGCUAUCCCUGGGGUUAGAUACCCCGCUAUAACUGGGAUUAGAUACCCCGCUAUAGCUGGGAUUAGAUACCCCACUAUCGCUGGGGUUAGAUACCCCACUAUAACUGGGGUUAGAUACCCCUCUAUAACUGGGAUUAGAUACCCCACUAUCACUGGGAUUAGAUACCCCACUAUAACUGGGAUUAGAUACCCCACUAUCACUGGGUUAA